rnacentral:rRNA from 1 species
UACGUAGGGGGCAAGCGUUGUCCGGAAUUAUUGGGCGUAAAGCGCGCGCAGGCGGUCAUUUAAGUUUGGGGUUUAAGCCCGAGGCUCAACCUCGGAUCGCCCCGAAAACUGGGUGACUGGAGUGCAGGAGAGGAAAGUGGAAUUCCACGUGUAGCGGUGAAAUGCGUAGAGAUGUGGAGGAACACCAGUGGCGAAGGCGACUUUCUGGCCUGUAACUGACGCUGAGGCGCGAAAGCGUGGGGAGCAAACAGGAUUAGAUACCCUGGUAGUCCACGCCGUAAACGAUGUAUGCUAGGUGUUAGGGGUUUCGAUACCCUUGGUGCCGAAGUCAACACAGUAAGCAUACCGCCUGGGGAGUACGGUCGCAAGACUGAA